CACUUGGGGGAUUGGCCAGGAUCGUUUCACUUACUACAUGCCGGUUACGGCAGGGUUUGAUUCGAACUUUCAAUGACCUACCACAUCUUCCCCUUGCUUUCUUGAUUCGGUGGAUGGUGGUGCAUGGCCGUUCUUAGUUGGUGGAGCGGUUUCUCUGGUUAAUUCCGAUAACGAACGAGACUCUAGCCUUCUUUUUUUUCUGAGCCCAUCCAACGAACACUCAUCGUAGUUUCAGCAGUUUUAGGGAGCGUUUUGCUGCGUGGUUGUAUUUUCAAAUACCUGCCGCUACAAACCUGAACGUUCGGGUUCUUGAAGCCGU
rnacentral:rRNA from 1 species